rnacentral:lncRNA from 1 species
UCGAAUAAAAUAUAGCCCAAUAGUAUACUGCUACUUUGUGUGGCCAUUGUCAAAGGGGAAGUUAGUGGUAACUUGGAUUCAAAACUAUGCAUAAAAAUGCCACACAAAGUUGUCUUUAAAGUGCAAAACAACAAAAUAUCCUAUGAAGGAACUAUUCUCAUAUAAUUAUUUUGGGAAGCUUUGCCUGUGAAAAAUCGACCAGACACUAGUACUAGUAAAACAAAGGAGAGACGUAAUACUGGUACACACGCAAAUAUGAUCCUUAUGAAUUUAUUCCUGAUGCAUACAGUUAGCUCCAAGUCUCGCUUCUAUAAGCUUUUACUAAUAAAUAAACCAGUCCCACGAAGAUCUUUUCGAUCUUUUUGCUUUGGCUGAACUUGCAGGACCAAUUGCUUAAAAACUUGAUGUAGGAUCUGCAUUCUUCAAUUGCCCCAAAAUCUUUCCCCGGUUGAUAAUCGAGAGUAUAGAAGAAACAAAGACAUUAUACGAAAAGACUAGACAUUCUCUCCUUCAGAAAUAAAGGAAAAGAGACAUUGCAUGAAAACAUGAUAAAACUAUUAUCACCACCCCGUUUCUUCCUAGCCUUUCUCCAAUCUAUACAAAAUUCAGAGAAGUCAUAAAGCCAAUUCCAAUUGUCCCCUGACUAAGGGGAUUUGGCCAUUUUACCAGUACGAUGUGAAAGCGCAUUUGGGAGAUUCUUCAUUGAAAUGGAACAGGUGCUCCUUGUUUCUUAUUCACAAUAGCCAUUGCUAAAUAUCUGGUGCCCAUCCCAAUAGGAGCCUGCUCCUCAUACAUCUAUGAAAUGGUUACAUGCGCAAUUGUUAUUAACCCGCAGCCUGGCCGGUGCUUGCGAGGUAAAUUGCUCAGUAAUCUAACUUCGAGCAUAAUUUUCCCAGAAUGGAGCCUCACCUUCACCCACCAAACGCCAAUAACCUGCUCUUAAAGAAUCCGCUUGCUCAUCUGUACAGUUCUCCAGUAAUGCCUCAACUCGAAAAUUUAUUCCAAGUGAACCAAGAAACUGAGACUGAGUCAUUGGGCCAUGCACAGACACGUCAUCUG